GACGAACGCUGGCGGCGUGCUUAACACAUGCAAGUCGAACGGUAAGGCCCUUCGGGGUACACGAGUGGCGAACGGGUGAGUAACACGUGGGUGAUCUGCCCUGCACUUUGGGAUAAGCCUGGGAAACUGGGUCUAAUACCGGAUAGGACCACGGCCUUCAUGGGUUGUGGUGGAAAGCUUUUGCGGUGUGGGAUGGGCCCGCGGAGUAUCAGGUUGUUGUGGGGGUAAUGGGCUACCAAGGCGACGACGGGUAGCCGGCCUGAGAGGGAGUGCGGCCACACUGGGACUGAGAUACGGCCCAGACUCCGACGAGAGGCAGCAGUGGGGAAUAUUGCACAAUGGGCGCAAGCCUGAUGCAGCGACGCCGCGUGAGGGAUGACGGCCUUCGGGUUGUCAACCUCUUUCAGUAGGGACGAAGCGCAAGUGACGGUACCUAUAGAAGAAGCACCGGCCAACUACGUGCCAGCAGCCGCCGCGG
rnacentral:rRNA from 1 species